AUUGAACGCUGGCGGCAGGCCUAACACAUGCAAGUCGAGCGGAUGAAGGGAGCUUGCUCCUGGAUUCAGCGGCGGACGGGUGAGUAAUGCCUAGGAAUCUGCCUGGUAGUGGGGGAUAACGUCCGGAAACGGGCGCUAAUAUCGCAUACGUCCUGAGGGAGAAAGUGGGGGAUCUUCGGACCUCACGCUAUCAGAUGAGCCUAGGUCGGAUUAGCUAGUUGGUGGGGUAAAGGCCUACCAAGGCGACGAUCCGUAACUGGUCUGAGAGGAUGAUCAGUCACACUGGAACUGAGACACGGUCCAGACUCCUACGGGAGGCAGCAGUGGGGAAUAUUGGACAAUGGGCGAAAGCCUGAUCCAGCCAUGCCGCGUGUGUGAAGAAGGUCUUCGGAUUGUAAAGCACUUUAAGUUGGGAGGAAGGGCAGUAAGUUAAUACCUUGCUGUUUUGGCGUUACCAACAGAAUAAGCACCGGCUAACUUCGUG
rnacentral:rRNA from 1 species